UACGUAGGGCGCAAGCGAUGUCCGGAAUUAUUGGGCGUAAAGAGCUCGUAGGUGGCCUGUCGCGUCGGCUGUGAAAACUCGGGGCUCAACUCCGAGCUUGCAGUCGAUACGGGCAGGCUAGAGUUCGGCAGGGGAGACUGGAAUUCCUGGUGUAGCGGUGAAAUGUGCAGAUAUCAGGAGGAACACCGGUGGCGAAGGCGGGUCUCUGGGCCGAUACUGACACUGAGGAGCGAAAGCGUGGGGAGCGAACAGG
rnacentral:rRNA from 1 species